rnacentral:rRNA from 1 species
AACGAACGCUGGCGGCAGGCCUAACACAUGCAAGUCGAACGCUCUUUUCGGAGAGAGUGGCGCACGGGUGAGUAACGCGUGGGGAAUUGCCCUGGGGUACGGAAUAACCAUUGGAAACGAUGGCUAAUACCGUAUACGCCUUGAGAGGGAAAGAUUUAUCGCCCUGGGAUAUACCCGCGUUGGAUUAGGUAGUUGGUGAGGUAAAGGCUCACCAAGCCGACGAUCCAUAGCUGGUCUGAGAGGAUGAUCAGCCACACUGGGACUGAGACACGGCCCAGACUCCUACGGGAGGCAGCAGUGGGGAAUAUUGGACAAUGGGGGCAACCCUGAUCCAGCCAUGCCGCGUGAGUGAAGAAGGCCUUCGGGUUGUAAAGCUCUUUCAACGGUGACGAUGAUGACGGUAGCCGUAGAAGAAGCCCCGGCUAACUUCG